UAAUAAUUCUGCCAUAAUGGCCGUUCAGAAAAUUUCCGCAGUCUGUCGUAAAAAUAAGAUGACAGCUGGCAUCCGACAAGAGUACCAGUCAAUCGUUUCGGAUUAUCGGAUGUCGGCUAAAUUUAAAUCUACAGUAUUUCCACGUUGUCGGUUAUUUGAGCAAUUUUAUGUCGACAAUUACGCGGGAUAAAAUUGUUAAGUCCUGGGGGCUUUCCUCAUUAGCGGUGACGUCAGAAUAUGGAAGAGGAAAUCGACCAAGUCGGACAAUAUUUCUGGUCGAGAGAGUUGUCGACCGCUACAGUUCCAUUCAUAGCGGUAUACGAAGAGAGCGAGUGACUCAUUCAUUAUGUCUCCUUUCCCACCGUCACUAUAUAACUCUGGCAACUGUAUUGUUAUUCGCUGGUCUAGCGGAACACGCUAACUUCCCCCUUAUUUACCAACCCACCGGCAAGUGGAAUGCGCCUUAAGAGAAAUAUCGGAGAAACUCGGGACGGCCUUUCCAGAAGAACUGGCAAAACUCGGCUGAUUCCAUUAAACCCGACGGGGAACGAACUGGAAUAAAAUCCACUUAACGAGAAUUAUGAGAGAUUAACGGAGACGACCAUCUUACACAUUUCUACGUCACGCCAGAAAUUUUACGCUUUUCCGUCUUCGGUCGAGAAAUUAAUGGCCGACGGUUCUUUUCUAAAGACCCCAAAACUCCGUCGCGUGUUAAAAGCCAAAAGGUUAAUCUAUACCAGAAUAAUUUAUAAAUCCCACCUCUCCUUCUUUAAUAC
rnacentral:lncRNA from 1 species